UACGUAGGGUGCGAGCGUUGUCCGGAAUUAUUGGGCGUAAAGAGCUUGUAGGCGGUUUGUCGCGUCUGCUGUGAAAUUUCGGGGCUCAACCCCGAACUUGCAGUGGGUACGGGCAGACUAGAGUGUGGUAGGGGAGACUGGAAUUCCUGGUGUAGCGGUGAAAUGCGCAGAUAUCAGGAGGAACACCGGUGGCGAAGGCGGGUCUCUGGGCCGUAACUGACGCUGAGGCGCGAAAGCGUGGGGAGCAAACAGG
rnacentral:rRNA from 1 species